GUCCCAGACUCCUACGGGAGGCAGCAGUGAGGAGUAUUGGUCAAUGGCCGGAAGGCUGAACCAGCCAAGUCGCGUGAGGGACGACUGCCCUAUGGGUUGUAAACCUCUUUUAUAAGGGAAGAAUAAAUGCUACGUGUAGCAUGAUGCCUGUACCUUAUGAAUAAGCAUCGGCUAACUCCGUGCCAGCAGCCGCGGUAAUACGGAGGAUGCGAGCGUUAUCCGGAUUUAUUGGGUUUAAAGGGUGCGUAGGCGGAAUGCCAAGUCAGCGGUAAAAUCGCGGGGCUCAACCUCGCUCCGCCGUUGAAACUGGCAGACUUGAGUUGGCGAGAAGUACGCGGAAUGCGCGGUGUAGCGGUGAAAUGCAUAGAUAUCGCGCAGAACUCCGAUUGCGAAGGCAGCGUACCGGCGCCAGACUGACGCUGAGGCACGAAAGCGUGGGGAUCGAACAGGAUUAGAUACCCCCGUA
rnacentral:rRNA from 1 species